CUGGCGGCGUGCCUAAUACAUGCAAGUCGAACGGUCUUUCUAUGGAAGCUUGCUUCCACUGAGAAGAUAGUGGCGAACGGGUGAGUAACACGUGGGUAACCUGCCCAUAAGAGGGGGAGUAACAUCCGGAAACGGGUGGCUAAUACCGCAUAGUUUUCUUGAUCGCAUGAUUGAGAAAGGAAAGACGGCCUUUGUGCUGUCGCUUAUGGAUGGACCCGCGGCGUAUUAGUUAGUUGGUGAGGUAACGGCUCACCAAGACGAUGAUACGUAGCCGACCUGAGAGGGUGAUCGGCCACAUUGGGACUGAGACACGGCCCAAACUCCUACGGGAGGCAGCAGUAGGGAAUCUUCCGCAAUGGACGAAAGUCUGACGGAGCAACGCCGCGUGAGUGAAAGAAGGUUUUCGGAUCGUAAAACUCUGUUGUCAGAGAAGAACAAGUUGGAGAGUAACUGCUCCAGCCUUGACGGUAUCUGACCAGAAAGCCACGGCUAACUACGUGCCAGCCGCCGC
rnacentral:rRNA from 1 species